GUGCUCAUUUUGACAACAUAUAUACUAAAAUUGGAAUGAUACAAAGACUCGCAUGUCCCCUAUGCAAGGUUGAUAUACAAAUUUGUGAAACGUUCCAUAUAUUU
ensembl:snRNA U6 U6 spliceosomal RNA